CUACAGGCUUAACACAUGCAAGUCGAGGGGCAUCAGGGUGUAGCAAUACACCGCUGGCGAGCGGCGCACGGGUGAGUAACACGUAUCCAACCUAGCCCUUUACUCGGGGAUAGCCUUAUCGAAAGAAAGAUUAAUACCCGAUGGCAUAACAUGACCUCCUGGUUUUGUUAUUAAAGAAUUUCGGUAGAGGAUGGGGAUGCGUUCCAUUACGCAGUUGGCGGGGUAACGGCCCACCAAACCUUCCAUGGAUAGGGGUUCUGAGAGGAAGGUCCCCCACAUUGAAACUGACACACGGUCCAAACUCCUACGGGAGGCAGCAGUGAGGAAUAUUGGUCAAUGGGCGAGAGCCUGAACCAGACAAGUAGCGUGAAGGAUGACCGCCCUAUGGGUUGUAAACUUCUUUUAUAUGGGAAUAAAGUUUGCCACGUGUGGCAUUUUGUAUGUACCAUAUGAAUAAGGAUCGGCUAACUCCGUGCCAGCAUCCGCGGUAAUACGGAGGAUCCGAGCGCUAUCCGGAUUUAUUGGGGUUAAAGGGAGCGUACGUGGACAUGUAAGUCACUUGUGAAAGCUUGCGGCUCAACCGAAUCAUUGCAGGUGAU
rnacentral:rRNA from 1 species